rnacentral:rRNA from 1 species
GACGAACGCUGGCGGCGUGCUUAACACAUGCAAGUCGAACGGAAAGGCCCUGCUUUUGUGGGGUGCUCGAGUGGCGAACGGGUGAGUAACACGUGAGUAACAUGCCCUUGACUUUGGGAUAACUUCAGGAAACUGGGGCUAAUACCGGAUAGGAGCUCCUGCUGCAUGGUGGGGGUUGGAAAGUUUCGGCGGUUGGGGCUGGACUCGCGGCUUAUCAGCUUGUUGGUGGGGUAGUGGCUUACCAAGGCUUUGACGGGUAGCCGGCCUGAGAGGGUGACCGGCCACAUUGGGACUAAGAGACGGCCCAGACUCCUACGGGAGGCAGCAGUGGGGAAUAUUGCACAAUGGGCGGAAGCCUGAUGCAGCAACGCCGCGUGCGGGAUGACGGGCUUCGGGUUGUAAACCGAUGUCGCCUGUGACGAAGCGUGAGUGACGGUAAUGGGUAAAGAAGCACCGGCUAACUACGUG